rnacentral:lncRNA from 1 species
AUGGUUGUGUUGUUCAUGGUAUGGGUUUCUGGAGAUUUCCUGCAAUUUGAAACCUUGUAAAGAUUUCUGGAUUUUCAUUAUAAUUUCUACUGCUUCUGACUAGAAUUGGUCAUCGUGCCUUCCACCACGGCAUCACCCACCGGAAUCCCAAGGUUCAGGUCAGCGUCAUCGGUUUAUUAGAAAGGGUUAUGAAUCAACGGCUCAUUCUAAUCUCCAACAGAAAGCUUGCAUGAUCACAGUAGCUUGAGGUUGAAGUUUCUAGGGGCAUUUG